AUCGCUUCUUCGCUGUUUGGCUAAGACCAAGUGUAGUAUCUGUUCUUAUCAGAGUGAGACCUUGUCUGAAAACCAAUAAAUAAAUAAAGUCAAAUAUAUGGCUGCAAAGACUUCAAAACUAAAAGCCAUUGCUGCACACUCU
ensembl:snRNA U2 U2 spliceosomal RNA